rnacentral:rRNA from 1 species
CCUGAGAAAUCCAAAAGUUCGAAUGGAGAGAUUCAGCGUCAGUGGCCUCUGUUGGCUUGCUUGCGACGCGCGAUGCUCUCGCGUCCCGCGGUACCCUCGGGUACGCUGCGGGCUCGCGUGGGGCACGCCGUCGCCGAGUCAUGUCCAACGUCGCCGGCGUGCACUUCUCUCCUAGUAGGACGUCGCGACCCGCUGGGUGUCGGUCAUUUACGGCCCGUACGGUAGACCGUUGCGCCCAGUGCGCUCCGGACCCGCGGUGCACUGCCCCGACCGACUGCCCGGCGGUAUUGAAAGCACCUUUGAAUCACGAUUGGUAUCGAGCCGCGGAAAAUCGCGCGCGCGUCCGAUCGGUUUUACGACCGGUCGGCGCGCGUCGGUUGGACGCGUUUACGGCUUGCCGGUUGAUCGGAUCUCGCUUGGCAAAUUAUACGGACCUCGUGCCGUUGUCGGGCGUUUGAUUCGGUUUUAAUCGCGUCAAUGUCCUCGAACUGGCUCUCACCGGUCAGCGACGCUUUUGCUUUGGAUACUUUCAGG